UACGUAGGGUGCAAGCGUUGUCCGGAAUUAUUGGGCGUAAAGAGCUCGUAGGCGGUCUGUCACGUCGGAUGUGAAAAUCCAGGGCUUAACCCUGGACCUGCAUUCGAUACGGGCAGACUAGAGUUCGGUAGGGGAGACUGGAAUUCCUGGUGUAGCGGUGAAAUGCGCAGAUAUCAGGAGGAACACCGGUGGCGAAGGCGGGUCUCUGGGCCGUAACUGACGCUGAGGAGCGAAAGCGUGGGGAGCGAACAGG
rnacentral:rRNA from 1 species